rnacentral:rRNA from 1 species
UUCCACGGGCUCCGUGCCGGAGCUAACGCAUUAAGCGCCCCGCCUGGGGAGUACGGCCGCAAGGCUAAAGCUCAAAGGAAUUGACGGGGGCCCGCACAAGCGGCGGAGCAUGCGGCUUAAUUCGAUGCAACGCGAAGAACCUUACCAGGGCUUGACAUGCACGGUGCAGGGCCGGAGACGGUCUGUCCUUUGGGGUCGUGCACAGGUGGUGCAUGGUUGUCGUCAGCUCGUGUCGUGAGAUGUUGGGUUAAGUCCCGCAACGAGCGCAACCCUCGUCCUGUAUUGCCAGCAAGCGCUUUCGGGCGUGUUGGGGACUUGCGGGAGACUGCCGGGGUCAACUCGGAGGAAGGUGGGGACGACGUCAAAUCAUCAUGCCCCUUAUGUCCUGGGCUGCACGCAUGCUACAAUGGCCGGUACAGAGGGCUGCGAUGCCGUGAGGCGGAGCGAAUCCCGGAAAGCCGGUCUCAGUUCGGAUCGGGGUCUGCAACUCGACCCCGUGAAGUCGGAGUCGCUAGUAAUCGCAGAUCAG